UUUAUGCAUGAGAAGCAUUAUUUCUUGCAAAAACUCAACAAUGCCCAUCCUUACCCGUUCCCUGUCCAUUAUUCUACUAAUAAGUGCUUCUCAUUAUAUUCUUCUUUGUUCUGUAUCCAAUUCAAGUAGGUGUUAUGAAGGGAAGAUGUUAUAUGAAAGGUGGGGUUAUUUCACCGCGUGAUCUUGCUAAGAUCGGUGGCCUUUCAUUAGAUGAACAGGUGUAAUCCACAUUGACGAUGGAAGCAACUGCUUGACACGAAAGCUAAUGUCGUUCAGGUGGAAAAUGGUCCAGGUUCCAAAGGGAAAAAACUGUAACAAGUUUACCACCAUGGAAUCAAUUCCCUCAUAAUGCAUAAUGUUUUGUCUCCGCUCUAAGGAGGACUACAGGAGCUACCAUGAUGCUUGGCCAAUGCGCAUCGGAAGUGCUCUGAUGUUCCUUAUGACAAGUAUGCUUCCUUUUCAUGCUUAAUUUCCUUAAAACUGAGUAUGUUUUACAUAUGUAGGCUGUUAUUGUUAAUUUAUUGUUCAUAUUCAAAAGGAGAUUUCCUCUAAUUAAUCAAUCUGACUUUCAUAAUGGAAAACUGUAAUUAGGAGUCGGUUACUAGUGGAACAAGAGGGGAAAUAUCGGUCUCCUGUUAAAAUUUUUUGGAUGUGUUUAGCUCAUACACAAAUUACUUACCUACUUCAAUCAUC